rnacentral:lncRNA from 1 species
CAUUGUGCCAGCUCAAUUUAAAUGUAUCUGCUCUGUAUCUGUUCAAGUGGAGAUAAUCCAUGCAAAUCAGGAGCCGUGGCUCUCAAUGCCUGGUUCACAGAGAGGACUCAGCUUGAGGAGGUCACUCGUUCACAGCCGCUCCUCCCAUUAUAUUUUUCCCCUUAUUGCAGAACUGCUGUAUGUAUACAGUGACUGAAAGGACUCAAUUUACUGCAACUGCUGCCUGGCUUUACUUACAAC